GAAAAAAAACAUUAUGAAGGUCAACAAAAGUGAGAUAAGCCCUGUUCACCUGGGAUGGCACAGCCCUGUCCACACAAGCAGGAGAGCAUCCAAAACUGGAAAACAAAGAGGUGAACAAAAAUUAGCCCUUGAAAUGGAGCCUCAUAUCAGAACAUAAAAUGAAGCAGGAUGAAAAGAAUGUACUCUCAUAUUUAUCAGAGAUAAUUGCAUUGAAAAUAUAUUGCAACUGCACCAUAAACCCACGUAA